AUGAACGCUGGCGGCGUGCCUAAUACAUGCAAGUCGAGCGAACAGACUAGGAGCUUGCUCCUCUGACGUUAGCGGCGGACGGGUGAGUAACACGUGGAUAACCUACCUAUAAGACUGGGAUAACUUCGGGAAACCGGAGCUAAUACCGGAUAAUAUAUUGAACCGCAUGGUUCAAUAGUGAAAGACGGUUUUGCUGUCACUUAUAGAUGGAUCCGCGCCGCAUUAGCUAGUUGGUAAGGUAACGGCUUACCAAGGCAACGAUGCGUAGCCGACCUGAGAGGGUGAUCGGCCACACUGGAACUGAGACACGGUCCAGACUCCUACGGGAGGCAGCAGUAGGGAAUCUUCCGCAAUGGGCGAAAGCCUGACGGAGCAACGCCGCGUGAGUGAUGAAGGUCUUCGGAUCGUAAAACUCUGUUAUUAGGGAAGAACAAAUGUGUAAGUAACUAUGCACGUCUUGACGGUACCUAAUCAGAAAGCCACGGCUAACUACGUG
rnacentral:rRNA from 1 species